rnacentral:tRNA from 1 species
UGGGUUGUAGCUAAGCGAUACAGCGCUUGUCUGGCAUGUGAGAGGCCCUGGGUUCGAUCCUCAGCACCACAU